UACCUCCCGUGUGUCGUCGUUAAUGCGUGCGUAGCGAAGCUAACGCGCUAAGUAGACCGCCUGGGGAGUACGGCCGCAAGAUUAAAACUCAAAGGAAUUGACGGGGGCCCGCACAAGCGGUGGAGCAUGUGGUUUAAUUCGAUGCAACGCGAAGAACCUUACCUACACUUGACAUGCCGAGAAGUUACUAGAGAUAGUUUCGUGCCUUCGGGAACUCAGACACAGGUGCUGCAUGGCU
rnacentral:rRNA from 1 species